CUAAGGCGGUAAAAUUCACACUUAGAAACCUUGGGCAAAAAAGAGGAUUAGAUACCCUCCUAUUCUGUGGCCUAGGGUAGUAACUAGCUAUGUACUUCAAACCCAAAGGAUUUGGCGGUGAUUUAACAGCCCAGAGGAACCUGCCGCCGAUAACCCACGAAAAAUCUUACCUGAACGCUCGUAUACCGUCGUCUAGGCGGAGUUAAAAAAUAUCGCCACUAGGAUGACAGAUCAAGGUGCAGCAUAUUCAGGGGUUACAAUCCCUAUGAAAUAGGAUUUGGCAGUAAAGUUUAAUAAGCUAAGAAGAUUGUAAUAAAUCACGCACAUAUCGCCCGUCACUCUCA
rnacentral:rRNA from 1 species